GAGAAGUCCAGUGAGAAUCUGGCGCUGUCCCGCAACCGUGAGGCCCUCCGGGCCGAGCCGGAUC
rnacentral:ncRNA from 2 species